GCGCGGGUAGCAAUACCUGGCGGCGACCGGCGGAAGGGUGAGUAACGCGUGAGCAACAUGCCCCGUGAUGGAGGACAGUCACUGGAAACGGUGCGUAAUACUCCAUAACAACCGAUGAGACAUCUCAUUGGCUUGAAAGAUUCAUUGUCACGGGAUUGGCUCGCGUCUGAUUAGGUAGUUGGCGGGGUAACGGCCCACCAAGCCGACGAUCAGUAGGGGUUCUGAGAGGAAGGUCCCCCACAUUGGAACUGAGACACGGUCCAGACUCCUACGGGAGGCAGCAGUGAGGAAUAUUGGACAAUGGCCGGAAGGCUGAUCCAGCCAUGCCGCGUGACGGACUAAGGCCCUAUGGGUCGUAAACGUCUUUUGUCUGGGAGCAAUAAGGGCGUCGUGACGCCCGAUGAGAGUACCAGGCGAAUAAGCAUCGGCUAACUCCGUGCCAGCAGCCGCGGUAAUACGGAGGAUGCAAGCGUUAUCCGGAUUUAUUGGGUUUAAAGGGUGCGUAGGCGGUCCGGUAAGCGGGAUGUGAAAAGCAACGGCUCAACCGUUGUCGUGCAUCCCGAACUGUCGGACUGGAAUACUCCUGCCGUGGGAGGAAUGGGUAGUGUAGCGGUGAAAUGCAUAGAUAUUACCCAGAACACCGAUUGCGAA
rnacentral:rRNA from 1 species